rnacentral:rRNA from 1 species
ACCCUUCACUACGGAAUAGCUUCUGGAAACGGAAGGUAAUACCGUAUACGCCCUCCGGGGGAAAGAUUUAUCGGUGAAGGAUCGGCCCGCGUUAGAUUAGUUUGUUGGUGGGGUAAUGGCCUACCAAGACUACGAUCUAUAGCUGGUCUGAGAGGAUGAUCAGCCACACUGGGACUGAGACACGGCCCAGACUCCUACGGGAGGCAGCAGUGGGGAAUCUUGCACAAUGGGCGAAAGCCUGAUGCAGCCAUGCCGCGUGAAUGAUGAAGGCCUUAGGGUUGUAAAAUUCUUUCGCCAGGGAUGAUAAUGACAGUACCUGGUAAAGAAGCCCCGGCUAACUUCGUGCCAGCAGCCGCGGUAAUACGAAGGGGGCUAGCGUUGUUCGGAAUUACUGGGCGUAAAGCGCGCGUAGGCGGGCUAUUAAGCCAGAUGUGAAAGCCCGGGGCUCAACCUCGGAAUUGCAUUUGGAACUGGUAGCCUAGAGACCAGGAGAGGUUAGCGGAAUACCGAGUGUAGAGGUGAAAUUCGUAGAUAUUCGGUGGAACACCAGUGGCGAAGGCGGCUAACUGGACUGGUACUGACGCUGAGGCGCGAAAGUGUGGGGAGCAAACAGGAUUAGAUACCCUGGUAGUCCACACCGUAAACGAUG